CUGCGGUCCCGCACUCCCCGCGGUUUCUGAGGCAGCAUGGCGCCAGAGCUGCGUGUGAGCAUGACACCGUGUCAAGAAGGGGUAAAAACACUCCCGUGGCUGGGGAGCUGAUUUACCCACAGUGCCCCUGCACGAUGGAGGAAAUGGUCCUACAGGAUCCUGGGGCUGCUGUUGCCCAAAGACAGCUUUGGCCAGAGGGCAGCUGCUAUGUUUGGCUUCA